GAUGAACGCUGGCGGCGUGCUUAACACAUGCAAGUCGAACGAUGAAGCCCAGCUUGCUGGGUGGAUUAGUGGCGAACGGGUGAGUAACACGUGAGUAAUCUGCCCUUAACUCUGGGAUAAGCCUGGGAAACUGGGUCUAAUACCGGAUAGGAGCGUCCACCGCAUGGUGGGUGUUGGAAAGAUUUAUCGGUUUUGGAUGGACUCGCGGCCUAUCAGCUUGUUGGUGAGGUAAUGGCUCACCAAGGCGACGACGGGUAGCCGGCCUGAGAGGGUGACCGGCCACACUGGGACUGAGACACGGCCCAGACUCCUACGGGAGGCAGCAGUGGGGAAUAUUGCACAAUGGGCGAAAGCCUGAUGCAGCGACGCCGCGUGAGGGAUGACGGCCUUCGGGUUGUAAACCUCUUUCAGUAGGGAAGAAGCGAAAGUGACGGUACCUGCAGAAGAAGCACCGGCUAACUACGUG
rnacentral:rRNA from 1 species